rnacentral:rRNA from 1 species
UAAUACAUUAACAAGCAAUAACCAAAUGGGUCUUUGGGGUUUCAUUUUAAGUUUUCUAGUCCCACGGCAAUGAUCAGUAGGGGCAUUAUUCAGAUUUCUUCCUUAUCAACUUUAGAUGUUUGGGUAUUGGCCAAACAAGGUUGCAACGGGUAAAAGCAUUUGCCAAGGAUGUUUUCAUUAAUCAGGAACGAAAGUUAGGGGAUCGAAGACGAUCAGAUACCGUCGUAGUCUUAACCAUAAACUAUGCCGACUAG